UCCAACAAAAUAGGUAGAGGAAACGCAAUAGCCACAACACAUUUUAGAACAGAGUACACACCUAAUUUUCAGUAAUUAUCCUUGAACUCAGAGUAAUGUCCGGUGGAGAUCUUAGGCGGAGGAUGCGGCGGUUCUUCAGCCCCAAAUUCUUUUGUAUAUUCAAGUUCUGCCUUCUUCGCUACCUUUUUGAUUAGCAAAUUCGGACCGCGAAAGAUGAUGUUCUUAUCGUUCCCGCUCAGCCUCUUCACGAUUAGGACAUCCUCAACAGUAUGGCAUUAGAUCACAGGUGAAGCGAGUUUCCAAGCACUUUCGCCAAAACACUAGCCUUCAUAUUCGAGAUUUCGAAUCGAAUCUGGAUGUUAGGGUUUCUGUGAAGGUGCUCGAAAUUUGCCACAGAGAGAGGGAUCUCGCUACCUUCGCCAAAACACUAGACUCCAUAUUCAAGAUUUCGAAUCUAAAAUCUGGAUGUUAGGGUUUCUGUGAAGUUGCUUGGAAUUUGCAAGGGAGAUAGGGAUCUCGCUUUACAUGUGAUCCGAUACGAUAUUGUUGAGGAUGUACGAAAGUGAGAACGAUAAGGGCAUCACAUUUCCGAAUUUGCUAAUCAAAAAAGCAGCGAAGAAGGCGGAAAUUGAAUACACUGAAUAAUUUAGGGCUAAAGAACGAACCGCAUCAUUCGGACCGCGAAAGAUGAUGCUCUUAUCGUUCCCACUCAGCCUUUUCACGAUUAGAACAUCCUCAACAGUAUGGCAUCAAAUCACAAGUGAAGCGAGUUCCCUGUCUCUAGCGAAUCCCGAGCACCUUCGCCAAAACACAAGCCUCCAGAUUCGAGAUCUCGAUGUUAGGCUUUCUGUGAAGGUCCUCGGAAUUUGCCAGAGAGACAGGGAUCUCGUUUUAGAUGUGAUCUAAUGCUAUAGUGUUGAGGAUAUCCAAAAGUGGGAACAAUAAAGGCAUCAUCUUUCCGAAUUUGUUAAUCAAAAAGGCAGCGAAGAAGGCGGAAGUUAAAUACACUGAAUAAUUUAGUGUUAAAGAACGAACCGCAACAUUUGGACCGCGAAAGAUGAUACUCUUAUCGUUCCCGCUCAUCCUCUUCACGAUUAGGACAUCCUCAACCGUAUGGCAUCGGAUCACAGGUGAAGCGAGUUCCCUUUCUCUCUGUCGAAUUCCGAGCACCUUCACCAAAACACUAGUCUCCAAAUUCGAGAUUUCGAAUUUGGAUGUCAAGUUCUGUGAAGGUGCUCGGAAUUUGCAAGAGAGACAGGAAUCUUGCUUUACAUGUGAUCUAAUGCGAUAUUGUUGAGAAUAUCCGAAAGUGGGAAUGAUAAGGGCAUCACAUUUCCGAAUUUGCUAAUCAAAAAGGCAGCGAAGAUAGCGGAAAUUGAAUACACUGAAUAAUUUAGGGCUAAAGAACGAACCGCAACAUUCGGACAGCGAAAGAUGAUGCUCUUAUCGUUCCCGCUCAGCCUCUUCACGAUUAGGACAUCCUCAACAGUAUGGCAUCAGAUCACAAGUGAAGCGAGUUCUCUAUCUCUCUGGCGAAUUCCGAGCACCUUCGCCUAAACACAGGCCUCCAGAUUUCAGAUUGAGAUAUGGAUGUUAGGGUUUCUGUGAAGGUCCUCGAAAUUUUCCAGUGAGAUAGGGAUCUCGCUUUAGAUGUGAUCUGAUGCUAUAGUGUUGAGGAUAUCCGAAAGUGGGAUCGAUAAGGACAUCACCUUUCCGAAUUCGCUAAUCAACAAUAUCGCAUCGGAUCACAUGUAAAGCAAGAUCCCAGUCUCUAUUGCAAAUUCCAAGCACCUUCACCAAAACCCUUAAAUUCAGAUUCGAAAUCUCGAACUGGAGGCUAGUAUUUUGGUGAAGGUGCUCGGAAUUCGCCAGAGAGAUAUGGAACUCACUUCACCUGUGAUCCGAUGCCAUACUGUUGAGGAUGUCCUAAUCAUGAAGAGGCUGAGCGGGAAAGAUAAGAGCAUCAUCUUUCGCGGUCCAAAUGCUGCAGUUCGUUCCUUAGCCCUAAAUUAUUCAGUGUAUUCUACUUCCGCCAUCUUCGCUGCCCUUUUAAUUAGCAAAUUUAGAAAGGUGAUGCCCUUACCAUUCUCACUUUCGGACAUCCUCAACAAUAUCGCAUCAAAUCACAUGUAAAGCAAGAUCACAGUCUCUCUUGCAAAUUCCAAGAACAUUCACCAAAACCUAACAUUCAGAUUCGAAAUCUCGAAUCUGGAGGCUAGUGUUUUGGCGAAGGUGCUCGGAAUUCGCCAGAGAGACAGAAAACUCGCUUCACCUGUGAUAUACUGUUGACGAUGUCCUAAUCGUGAAGAGGCUGAGCGGAAAGAUAAGAGCAUCAUCUUUUUUGCGGUCCGAAUGCUGCGGUUCGUUCUUUAGCCCUAAAUUAUUCAGUGUAUUCAACUUCCGCCAUCUUUGCUGCCUUUUAAUUAGCAAAUUUAAAAAGGUGAUGCCCUUGCCGUUCCCACUUUCAGACAUCCUCAACAAUAUCGCAUCGGAUCACAUGUAAAGCAAGAUCCCAGUCUCUAUUGCAAAUUCCAAGCACCUUCACCAAAACCCUUAAAUCAGAUUCGAAAUCUCGAACUGGAGGCUAGUAUUUUGGUGAAGGUGCUCGGAAUUCGCCAGAGAGAUAUGGAACUCACUUCACCUGUGAUCCGAUGCCAUACUGUUGAGGAUGUCCUAAUCAUGAAGAGGCUGAGCGGGAAAGAUAAGAGCAUCAUCUUUCGCGGUCCAAAUGCGCAGUUCGUUCCUUAGCCCUAAUUAUUCAGUGUAUUCUACUUCCGCCAUCUUCGCUGCCCUUUUAAUUAGCAAAUUUAGAAAGGUGAUGCCCUUACCAUUCUCACUUUCGGACAUCCUCAACAAUAUCGCAUCAAAUCACAUGUAAAGCAAGAUCCCAGUCUCUAUUGCAAAUUCCAAGCACCUUCACCAAAACCCUUAAAUUCAGAUUCGAAAUCUCGAAUCUGGAGGCUAGUGUUUUGGCGAAGGUGCUCGGAAUUCGCCAGAGAGACAGAAAACUCGCUUCACCUGUGAUAUACUGUUGACGAUGUCCUAAUCGUGAAGAGGCUGAGCGGGAAAGAUAAGAGCAUCAUCUUUUUUGCGGUCCGAAUGCUGCGGUUCGUUCUUUAGCCCUAAAUUAUUCAGUGUAUUCAACUUCCGCCAUCUUUGCUGCCUUUUUAAUUAGCAAAUUUAAAAAGGUGAUGCCCUUGCCGUUCCCACUUUCAGACAUCCUCAACAAUAUCGCAUCGGAUCACAUGUAAAGCAAGAUUCCAGUCUCUCUUACAAAUUCCGAGCACCUUCACCAAAACCCUUAAAUCAGAUUCGAAAUCUCGAAUCUGGAGGCUAGUGUUUUGGCGAAGGUGCUCGGAAUUCGCCAGAGAGACAGGGAACUCGCUUCACCUAUGAUCUGAUGCCAUACUGUGAGGGAUUGUCCUAAUGUUUGAUUGAAGGCUAAGCGGGGAACGGAUUAAAAGCAUCAUCUUUCGUGGUCCGGAAUUUGCUCUAAUCAAAAAGGGCAGACGAAGAAGCAGAACUUGAAGCCACAAAAGAAUUUGGGGAUAAGAAAGCGCAUCCUUCGUAAGAUAUCCACCCAAACAUUACUCGAGUCAAGGAUAAUUACUGAAAAUUAGGUAUGGUCUUUUUUUAUGUUCUAAAAUGUGUUGUGGCUAUUGAGUUCCUUCUAACGAUUUUGUUGUUGGAUGUUUUCAAAAUAUUGUUGUCUAUUUUAAAAAUUCCUAGGCGAAUUAUAUUUUGGUCGAAAAGUGACAUUUGAUUUGAUGAGUUGUGUUCUAAAAUAUAUUGUGGCCAUUGUGUUUCCUCUUCCUAUUUUGUUGGACGUUUGACAUUUUAGAACACAACUCAUCAAAUCAAUGGUCACUUUUGAACCAAAACCUAAUUCACCAAGGUAUUUUUAAAUUAUACAACGAUAUAUUGAAAACAUCCAACAAAAUAGAAAGAGGAAACCACGAUACAUUUCAGAACACAACUCAUCAAAUCAAAUGUUACAUUUGCACCAAAACCUAAUUUACCUAGGAAUUUUUAAAUUAUACAAGAAACCCAAUGAACACAAUUACAUUUCGAACUACACCUACAAAUGAAAUGUCAUCUUUUGCGACCAAAAUCUAAUUCACAUAAUUUUUAAAUUAGACAACAAUAUGUUGAAAAUGUCUAACAAAAUAGGUAGAGAAAACGCAAUUUUUAAAUUAGACCUGAUUGUCAAAAAAAUUAGAAAUUCCAAGGCCAGCAAAUCAUUUUUGUAUCUUAACUAGCUAAACUAGACAUAGAAGGGCCCAGAAAAUCCAAGGAAAAGUCCAAAUAUUGCAAGUUAAGAUUAGUAGCAAGAAUAUACCCACCCAUGGGAAGAAGACGGUUCUUUUAUGGAAAACGAAAAUCCAGUUAUUUAUUCCAACUAUGUUGACUUAAACUUACAUUUCUGUCCUAUGUAUGCAGAUUUACCACACUUCAAGGCACGUAAACACAUUAGAACUGAAAGAAAUGGUAUGUAUUUCAAAGGUUAGGGUCUCUUCUCAAUAAGACCCCCUCCAACUCCC
rnacentral:lncRNA from 1 species